rnacentral:rRNA from 1 species
CCUACGGGUGGCAGCAGUGGGGAAUCUUGGACAAUGGGCGAAAGCCUGACGCAGCAACGCCGCGUGAGUGAUGAAGGCCUUCGGGUCGUAAAGCUCUGUCCUCAAGGAAGAAAGUGACGGUACGUGAGGAGGAAGCACUGGCUAACUACGUGCCAGCAGACGCGGUAAUACGUACGGGGCUGGCGUUGUCCGGAAUUACUGGGCGUAAAGGGUGCGUAGGUGGUUUGUUAAGUCAGAGGUGAAAGGCUGCGGCUCAACCGUAGUAAGCCUUUGAAACUGGGUAACUUGAGUGCAGGAGGGGAGAGUGGAAUUCCUAGUGUAGCGGUGAAAUGCGUAGAUAUUUGGAGGAACACCAGUUGCGAAGGCGGCUCUCUGGACUGUAACUGACGCUGAGGCACGAAAGCGUGGGGAGCAAACAGGAUUAGAUACCCGGGUAGUC